rnacentral:rRNA from 1 species
UACGUAGGGCGCAAGCGUUAUCCGGAAUUAUUGGGCGUAAAGAGCUCGUAGGCGGUUUGUCGCGUCUGCUGUGAAAGACCGGGGCUCAACUCCGGUUCUGCAGUGGGUACGGGCAGACUAGAGUGCAGUAGGGGAGACUGGAAUUCCUGGUGUAGCGGUGAAAUGCGCAGAUAUCAGGAGGAACACCGGUGGCGAAGGCGGGUCUCUGGGCAGUAACUGACGCUGAGGAGCGAAAGCGUGGGGAGCGAACAGG